CAAACUCUUGGGGUCUGAACUGGGUUCAAGCAUCAGAUCCAGGGGAGCCCAGGGGGAUGCUGCUUAGUCAGGGGCCUCAAAUGUUCUCUGCACAAGCCAGAUAGCAAGGAGGAUGUACGGAAAGAGGAGAGAGAGGAAGCUAAAGAGAAAAGUAAAUGAAACCAGAAUGGCCUUCUCCCCAGGACCUCCAUCCCGAGCCUUGCAGCGAGAGUGAAGAAGCAUCUGAGCUGUCCUCCAGGGACGAGCAAGGAAAAGGAUCCCCCAUUUUGGGGAGAAUCACGUGGUAAGAUGAGCAUUCCUAUGGGAGUGGGGCCUUUCUCCUAGAAUGUAAGCUCCAGG
rnacentral:lncRNA from 1 species